GGACGAUAAUGGCAAAGCUGAUGAAAAUCAGUGACGCAAAGCUAUAGGGACUAAGCUGGUUAUGCCAGUAUGUCAGCCAGCUUCCGAA
rnacentral:ncRNA from 1 species